rnacentral:rRNA from 1 species
GAUGAACGCUGGCGGCGUGCCUAAUACAUGCAAGUCGAGCGAACGGACGAGAAGCUUGCUUCUCUGAUGUUAGCGGCGGACGGGUGAGUAACACGUGGAUAACCUACCUAUAAGACUGGGAUCACUUCGGGACACCGGAGCUAAUACCGGAUAAUCUUUUGAACCGCAUGGUUCAAUAGUGAAAGACGGUCUUGCUGUCACUUAUAGAUGGAUCCGCGCUGCAUUAGCUAGUUGGUAAGGUAACGGCUUACCAAGGCUACGAGGCAUAGCCGACCUGUGAGGGUGAUCGGCCACACGGGAACUGAGACACGGUCCAGACGCCUACGGGAGGCAGCAGUAGGGAAUCUGCCGCAAAGGUCGAAAGCCUGACGGAGCAACGCCGCGUGAGUGAUGAAGGUCUUCGGAGCGUAAAACUCUGUUAUUAGGGAAAAACAGAUGUGUAAGGAACUGUGCACAUCUUGACGGUACCUAAUCAGAAAGCCACGGCUAACUACGUG